rnacentral:rRNA from 1 species
UACGAAGGGGGCUAGCGUUGCUCGGAAUCACUGGGCGUAAAGGGUGCGUAGGCGGGUCUUUAAGCCAGGGGCGAAAUCCUGGAGCUCAACUCCAGAACUGCCUUUGAUACUGAGGAUCUUGAGUUCGGGAGAGGUGAGUGGAACUGCGAGUGUAGAGGUGAAAUUCGUAGAUAUUCGCAAGAACACCAGUGGCGAAGGCGGCUCACUGGCCCGAUACUGACGCUGAGGCACGAAAGCGUGGGGAGCAAACAGG